GACGAACGCUGGCGGCGUGCUUAACACAUGCAAGUCGAACGGAAAGGCCCUGCUUUUGUGGGGUGCUCGAGUGGCGAACGGGUGAGUAACACGUGAGUAACCUGCCCUUGACUUUGGGAUAACUUCAGGAAACUGGGGCUAAUACCGGAUAGGAGCUCCUGCUGCAUGGUGGGGGUUGGAAAGUUUCGGCGGUUGGGGAUGGACUCGCGGCUUAUCAGCUUGUUGGUGGGGUAGUGGCUUACCAAGGCUUUGACGGGUAGCCGGCCUGAGAGGGUGACCGGCCACAUUGGGACUGAGAUACGGCCCAGACUCCUACGGGAGGCAGCAGUGGGGAAUAUUGCACAAUGGGCGGAAGCCUGAUGCAGAAACGCCGCGGGCGGGAUGACGGCCUUCGGGUUGGAAACCGCUUUCGCCUGUGACGAAGCGUGAGUGACGGUAAUGGGUAAAGAAGCACCGGCUAACUACGUGC
rnacentral:rRNA from 1 species